rnacentral:rRNA from 1 species
UACGUAGGGUGCGAGCGUUGUCCGGAAUUAUUGGGCGUAAAGGGCUCGUAGGCGGUUUGUCGCGUCGGGAGUGAAAUCCACUGGCUUAACCUGGGAAUUGCGCUUGAAACUAGCGGCUUGAGUGCGGCAGAGGGGGUGGAAUUCCAGGUGUAGCGGUGAAAUGACGUAGAUAUCUGGAGGAACACCGGUGGCGAAGGCGGCGUUCUGGACUGUUACUGACACUGAGGAACGAAAGCCAGGG